rnacentral:rRNA from 1 species
GAUGAACGCUAGCUACAGGCUUAACACAUGCAAGUCGCGGGGCAGCAUGGGGGUUGCUUGCAAUCCCCGAUGGCGACCGGCGCACGGGUGAGUAACGCGUAUCCAACCUGCCCUUCACCACGGGAUAACCCGGCGAAAGUCGGACUAAUACCGUAUGUUGUCCAUUGACGGCCUCCGAUUUGGACGAAAGGUUUGGCGGUGAAGGAUGGGGAUGCGUCCGAUUAGCUGGACGGCGGGGUGACGGCCCACCGUGGCGACGAUCGGUAGGGGUUCUGAGAGGAAGGUCCCCCACACUGGAACCGAGACACGGUCCAGACUCCUACGGGAGGCAGCAGUGAGGAAUAUUGGUCAAUGGGCGUAAGCCUGAACCAGCCAAGUAGCGUGCAGGAUGACGGCCCUAUGGGUUGUAAACUGCUUUUAUGCGGGGAUAAAGUGGCCCACGUGUGGGUUUUUGCAGGUACCGCAUGAAUAAGGACCGGCUAAUUCCGUG